rnacentral:sRNA from 1 species
AGAUAAAAAACUUGUUCUCGAAAAUGUAAAGUACAUGCUACUUACAGCAAAAUAUUCCGAAACCCUAAUACUCAAAACGACGCAGUAUUGGGACGGAUUAAGAACUGUACUCGACCAAGGUGGUCGAGUGAGAGGUCGAGUGAAUAGCUGGAGUCUUCUUUUCUUCCUUGUGCUCGAGUGUCUGGUUAAGUGCGGAAUGGAGAAGACUUUGAAGCUCGACAUCGAGUAUGUAGUCGAGUGAUGGUGAUGGUGGUAGAGGUGAAGACACUCGACCAGGUGGUCGAGUGAAGUGAUCGAGUGACUCUCGUGGUGGUACUCGGCC